UAGGGAAUCUUCCACAAUGGACGAAAGUCUGAUGGAGCAACGCCGCGUGAGUGAAGAAGGGUUUCGGCUCGUAAAGCUCUGUUGGUAGUGAAGAAAGAUAGAGGUAGUAACUGGCCUUUAUUUGACGGUAAUUACUUAGAAAGUCACGGCUAACUACGUGCCAGCAGCCGUGGUAAUCUCUCUCU
rnacentral:rRNA from 1 species